UACGGAGGGAGCGUCGCUGUUGGUGAAUUACUGGGCGUAAAGCGCGCGUAGGCGGCUUUGUAAGUUAGAGGUGAAAGCCCGGAGCUCAACUCCGGAAUUGCCUUUAAGACUGCAUCGCUAGAAUCAUGGAGAGGUGAGUGGAAUUCCGAGUGUAGAGGUGAAAUUCGUAGAUAUUCGGAAGAACACCAGUGGCGAAGGCGACUCACUGGACAUGUAUU
rnacentral:rRNA from 1 species